UCACACAUAGCCUUGCAAACCACAUGAAGGAGAUUUAACUUUAUCUCAAUGACAGUGGGGGAAAUCAGUGGAGGUGUUGGCAUGGGUGUGAUGUGAUGUCACCAAGGUCCCAGUGUUCAUGGAAGCCUGUGUUGAGAGAGCCACAGAGCAAAGUAUCUGGGACCACUGAGUCACCAUAUGGAGGAGAGCUACCUGGAACAUUCAGGGUGGACUUCGUAUAAGUGAGAGGUCAACAGAUGUCCUCUCUGUUCCUGGUCACCGUGCUAGGUGUGGAGGACACAGAGAGGGAGAAGACCUCUCUGCCUUCUUGGAGCUCACAAGCCGGUAGAAAACUUCUAAGCAGGAAAGUAAAAUGAUCAGGGUUUUAAAACUCAAUCCAUCUAAUGAUCAAUCUGGUGGCACAGUGAAGGAUUUAUUGGUGUGUGUCUCACUUGAAUCACUUUUAAAUAAAUUUAAAAAUCCAC